AUUGAACGCUGGCGGCAUGCUUUACACAUGCAAGUCGAGCGGCAGCGCGGGGGCAACCCUCGCGGCGAGCGGCCAACGGGUGGGUAAUGCAUCGGUACGUAGCAUCCAGUUGGGGCUAAGCCAGCGACAGUUGGGCUCAUACCGCAUGAGCGCUUAGGAGGAAAGCGGGGGACCUUGGGGGGCCUAGCCCUGGCGGAGCUGCCGAUGCCCGAGUAGCGGGUUGGUGGGGUAAGGGCCUCGCACGGCGACGGUCAGUAUCUGGUCUAAGAGGAUGAUCAGCCACACUGGGACGGAGACACGGCCCAGACUCCUACGGGAGGCAGCAGUGGGGAAUUUUGGACAAUGGGCGCAAGCCUGAUCCAGCCAUGCCGCGUGAGUGAAGAAGGCCUUCGGGUUGUAAAGCUCUUUUGGACGGAACGAAAAGGAGGGGACUAAUACCCCGGUCUGAUGACGGUACCGUAAGAAGAAGCACCGGCUAACUACGUG
rnacentral:rRNA from 1 species